GAUGAACGCUGGCGGCGUGCCUAAUACAUGCAAGUCGAGCGAACGGACGAGAAGCUUGCUUCUCUGAUGUUAGCGGCGGACGGGUGAGUAACACGUGGAUAACCUACCUAUAAGACUGGGAUAACUUCGGGAAACCGGAGCUAAUACCGGAUAAUAUUUUGAACCGCAUGGUUCAAAAGUGAAAGACGGUCUUGCUGUCACUUAUAGAUGGAUCCGCGCUGCAUUAGCUAGUUGGUAAGGUAACGGCUUACCAAGGCAACGAUGCAUAGCCGACCUGAGAGGGGGAUCGGCCACACUGGAACUGAGACACGGUCCAGACUCCUACGGGAGGCAGCAGUAGGGAAUCUUCCGCAAUGGGCGAAAGCCUGACGGAGCAACGCCGCGUGAGUGAUGAAGGUCUUCGGAUCGUAAAACUCUGUUAUUAGGGAAGAACAUAUGUGUAAGUAACUGUGCACAUCUUGACGGUACCUAAUCAGAAAGCCACGGCUAACUACGUG
rnacentral:rRNA from 1 species